UCAUGCUAGAUGGGAAGUUAGCGGUGUCCUGUAACCUGCAAUCCGCUAUAGCAGGGUCGAAUUCCUCAUUUGAGGCAUUAGUCUGUACGGUCUGCCCUUUGCAAGUGAUGUUGAGGGUUGGGUCCCACGCAAUGUAAACCUGUGAACCUCGUCAGGUCCGGAGGGAAGCAGCGAUAAGCAGUCAUUUACAUGUGCCGUGGAUCAACCUGGCCUGAGUUAACUACAAAAGUAACGCGUAUAGACUUCUACCGAUGUGAGGUGCAUGG
rnacentral:SRP_RNA from 1 species